CUGUUGUAUUCACAUAUGGUCAAAUGAUCAAAGUCUGAACUCCUCUCUAAUUGUCCCCCCGCUGCUCGUCUGCUCUGUCCGUGAUCAAGGCCUCAGCAGGUGAUGAGAAAGGCAUGAGAACAAGCUGGAAGGAGAAUGAGGCACCGAGAGGCCCAAGCUGAAAGAAAUAAAGACUUCCAGUACAUCACCCUGACAGUAAAGAGCAAAGGAAAAGUGACGUCUGCUUCAAGACUGGUAAGGAAAUGGAAAUGUCAGAACACAGUAGCUGGGUUGCUAAGGUGUGUGGAACAAAAUAAGACAUCUAUGCAUUGAAAGGGAGAUUGUCAUCUAGAAAGACAAUGGAAUUCAUCCCAUUAAUGGAAAUAUGUAAUUAACAAGCUGCUGGUGUCAGUCUGUAGUGAGAACCCUGGCUUGGGCUCUUGCCUCCUAUAGAGUGGUAGUCUUGUCAAUGUCUUCUGGCUCCUUGUGGGGGUUGCACAGAUACAAGUGCAAAGAGGAAAUCUGCCUCCCCACUUUCAUGGAAUCUUACAGUUUGAGACUACAUUCCAAGGUAUCUGAAUAAGUAGACAAGCAUGACAUUUUCUUCUUGAAAUGUAAUCUUUAUUACUUCAAUUAAUAACUAUGUAUCAGGGAUAAAUAGUUUGCCAGUAUACCUUAUUGCUGUUAAUUUUGCUACUACAUAGUACGUAUGUAUGAUGAUGCUUUCUCUAGCACUUGUGUGGGUUUUUAUAGUAUAUAUCUAUAUUGCUUUGCAUACAUUAUCUAAUUUUGGUUUUCAUUCUCAAAACAACACUGCGAAGUUAAUAUAAUCUGCAGGGCAGGUAUUAUUAUCCCAAAUGAGGAAACUGAGGCUCACAAAAAUUAAGUAGCUUGCAUAAAGUCAGAUGGCUACCAACAUUGAAGGAAGAUAGAUGUUUAGUCUUAAUGAAGAAUCUCAGUAAUACAUAUAUACACCCAUUUUCUCACAUACUUGCAUGUACAUGUAUACACCCCUUUCUUGCCUCUCGUUUGGCAAACUAAACACAUUUCUUUUGUGGCCGGGCAAAUCCUGAUGAUGACUGGGUUAGCUAUCCUCUUGAAAAAGGCAUUGCCUGUGAUCUGAACUCAGGUCCAGAUCAGAUCAGAGCUUUCCGAGUUUCUUGACUUUUGUGUGAAUCAAUUUAGUACUGUUACCGAGAUUCUACAUACAGGAAAGAAGAAACAAAAUGAAUCACUUUAUUCUCCCAUCUUUCUCCUCAAUCAUGUAGCCAUCCAUUAUCCAACCAUUUCACUAUGUUCUAAACACUGAGCUAAGAGCUGAAAAUAAAACUUUAAAGAAAAACAAUCGGAUUCAUGCUUCAGGGAACUUAUAGUCAAGGGCUGCUUUUUUUUUUUUUUCUAAAUGAGCCUACAAGAAAUAAGAGAGAAAUAUAAUGAUUUUGUGAAUGAUCUGUGCAUUUUCUACUUCCCAACAGAAGUAUCCCUAACAGCUGAGCACUAUAAACUCAACUCCUAAGGGUAAGGGGUGAGGCAUUUCUUUGAAGACUCAUGUUUUGCCUUAAAGAUUAAUGCAAAAAUAUGUAUUCUAUUCUAUAAUAUGUGUGCGCUUAUUUUGAUAACCAUUUCCUCUCCCUCAGUAUCUAAUAAAAUUGCUAAUCCAGG
rnacentral:lncRNA from 10 species